CAGUGUCUCAUGUGGCCCUGCAGCUUCUCCUCCUCCACCUCCUCCUGAAGCCUUCAUCUUCUUCAUCAUCAGCUGCUCAGUGACUCUGUUGGACGUCUCACCGUGUGGCAGCAGCUCAGGAGUUUGCAGUCAACCAAGGCCGACUCAGAAUCACUCCCACCGGGAAGAUCUGUGAAGGAAGGUCCACCCGGCUGGUCCAGAAGCUCCGGUCCAGCAGAGCAGCGUCAGGAUGGAGACGUAACCGGUGUUGAUGUCACCGCCUUGACGAAUAGAAGAAAAGGGCAAAAUUUGCA